AUGACCUGCUCCGAGUUCCUACAAAGCUCGAUAGGAGAGCUGCAAGCCUCCAACGACAAGGCCAGUCGCGCUCACCGUGUGCUGGGCAGCUGCUCCAAACACCUGCUGAGGCUAGACGCCUCGGUGGUUGCUGGAACUGGCCAUGACGGAUGCUGGAACCGGCCACAAAAAAGCUUCAUCCGGCGGGGCAAUUUGCUACAACCAUUUGACUUGCUGGUCGAGCGGUGGCAGAAAAGCUUCAUCCGACGACAAAAAAGCUUCAACCGGCAGCCCGAUUUGCUGCGACCAGUGACUUGCUGGGGCGAGCGGCGGCAGAAAAGCUUCAUCCGACGGAAGAAAUGCUCCAAGCGGCAGCGUGAUUUGCUGCGACGAGUGACAUGUUGGAGCGAGUAG
rnacentral:rRNA from 1 species